rnacentral:rRNA from 1 species
CGGACGGGUGAGUAACGCGUGGGUAACCUGCCUUGUACAGGGGGAUAACAGUUGGAAACGGCUGCUAAUACCGCAUAAGCGCACGGCAUCGCAUGAUGCAGUGUGAAAAACUCCGGUGGUAUAAGAUGGACCCGCGUUGGAUUAGCUAGUUGGUGAGGUAACGGCCCACCAAGGCGACGAUCCAUAGCCGACCUGAGAGGGUGACCGGCCACAUUGGGACUGAAACACGGUCCAG